rnacentral:rRNA from 1 species
UCAGCAGUUCCAGAAUAUUAGUCAAUGCUCGAAAGAGUGACUAGCUAACUGAAUCAAUAUAAAAAUUGAUAACAUAAGGGAAAAUAAUGAUAUUACCUUAUUAUUAGUGUCGUCCAAAUCUGGUGCCAGAAGACUCGGUAAGGCCAGAGACACGAACGUUAAUCGUCUUAAUCAGGCGUAAAGGGUUUGUAGGCGGCUUUAAAUUUACUUUUUUAAAAGAAAAGUAAAGAAAAAAAGCUAGAAUCAAAUAGAGGAUAUAUUAAAUAAUGCUUAGAGUAGGUCUGAUAUCUUUAGAUACUAAGUAGAAUAUUAAAGGCGAAAGCUUUUUUCCAUUAAUGAUUGACGCUCAGAAACGAAGGUGAGGAUAGGAAAUAGGAUUUGAUACCCAAAAUACCCCUCUCUGUCAACGAUGAAUGGUAGUUAUUAAAUAAUAUUAUUAAUGGCAAUGUUAACACGAUAACCAUUCCGCCUUGUGAGUACGACUGCAAAGUUGAAAACAAAAAAAUUAGUCGGUUUCGGAGCAAACGAAGUGAAGCAUGUUAUUUAAUUCGAUAAUCCGCAAACA